GGGAUCAACAUGGAUGAAUUAUAUAAGAUCAGACAUCAUAAAGUACAAUCGAUUUAAGUGCAAAGACUAUGUUCACACUUGUGCCUUGAUCAAUUCAUGGAUGCAAACAAAGUUUAACAGGGCAAAGGGGGCUUAAAAAAUGAGACCGAGCACAUCACCAAAAAAAAUGCUUCCCAGGCAGGCAAUAAUCUCCCAAGCACAAAUUACAACAGUACAAGCCCAAGUUCUGAUGGUCUUAAAACAUGCUUUAUUCGAUAGUUGUAGAGAUAGUAGUGGAGUUGCCCAUCACCGGGGCCAAACUUUAGUUCCUUCAAGAAAGUUUCGUUAUGCAUAACAUCUAGAGCAUUGAAAACGUCAAAAUCCUUUUUCUUAGCCACUAUGAGAGCAUCAUUCAUCAACUGAAUCCAUGGAGUUUUAGUUGAAACGUUGUAAUAAGAAUAAGCAGCCUUCAGAGUGGAAUAAUUCUGAUUACCAAGAAUUGAUGAAGGGAGGGUGUAAAAACUGCAGAAGUCAGUGAUUUCAUGAGACUCGGGGCUUUCAACCAGAUAGCUGUCAACAACACCCUCCUUUGGCAGAAGUCAGUGAUUUCAUGAGACUCGGGGCUUUCAACCAGAUAGCUGUCAACAACACCCUCCUUUGGCAGAAGCCAGUGCUCUACGUCAUUCUCAUCAAAAUCAGGUGCAACCACAAAGUGCUUCAAGUAAUCCCUAAGCAAUCGAGUAACAGCAGGAACAUCAUGGAGCUCCAUCUUUCUGAACCCAGGUGUGACGGUCUGAUCAGGUAACUUGUAAAGCUUUAUUGUGCGGCUCAUUGUCAUCCUCGCACCAAGCCUAGAAAAUCCGACAUCGAUAAGCUUCUUUGGAUUCAAAGAUCUA
rnacentral:misc_RNA from 1 species